rnacentral:piRNA from 1 species
GCUGGAUGCACUUCUCUAAAAGGCUGC